UGAUGUCAUAGCUGGUACUUUUUCUAUUAACUCCAUUUUAGUUAAAGUAUUAUUUAAUUCUGGUGCAACUUAUUCUUUUAUCUGAGUAGAUGCUAUGGGAAAAUUAGCACUAGAGGAAAAAUCCUUAUUGGUGGCUCAUCAAAGGUUGCCCUUGUAUUACAAGUGCAACCUUUAAUGGUUAAAAAAAACAAAAAAAUUUAAAACAAAAAAAUCUUCCCUCCAUUUUGAAAAAGCGCAUCCUAAACAAAACAUUUGCUGCUCCCUCCUCCCAGCUGCUCCCUCCUUCCUUCAUCACUGAAUUUCACUCACUCAUCUCCCUCUUGUCUCCCUCUGUUCACUCGAUCUCCUCUCCUCUCUUCUCUUCAGCGCCGCCGCGCUGUGACCACCGCUCCCACACCGCCCUGUCGUGACGGCGGUUGGGGUCGCUGCUUUCCUCUUCUCUUUCCUCUUUAUUGUCGGUUGUGUUGUUCUUCUCCGCCACGUCGCCGCCGUUGUCGGUGGCCUCUGGUUCAAACCGUUGAUGUUUCAUCAUCUAUCCGUAUGAAGAAGAUAGAAUACGGAUUAAGGAUGUUGUGAAGUGUGGAAAGGUUGAUGCAAGAAGAAUCAUAGCAGGAAAAUAUCCUUGACAGACCUGCACUACUACAGAUUAUGUUAUUACCACCAAAGAAGUCAUCAUUGGAAGAAUGUCCAUUCCUCCAGAUCAUUCAAGAUACUCAAUCAUGCGUCAUUCUUCCUAUGAUUUUCCAUGUCUGAAGGUUAAAAGAACCAAUUUCAAAUUGGGGAUUUCGACCUUAUAAUUUGCAAGACUGGAUUGGUACAUAUCCAGUUUCUUCUGGCCAAGAGAGCAAGGGAUCUUUAGCACCCUAAGAGUGAUAUUGUGUGCAUUCACAUCCUUUUUCUUGAUACUAGUCUUCAUCAACUUUUUGACUGCCUUUAUUGCAAAAUUCUUGCCACCAGUAUGGAGCAACAACAAACUGCUAUUACCCGAUUUUUAUAAUCAAGAUUUUUAUUGAGAAAAAGUAUGCUUUGCCUUAUCGGGUGCUGGAUGCCUUGGUUGCUCAUUUCAUGAGAUUUGUAGAAGACUCAAAGGUUAUGCCAGUGAUCUGGCAUCAAACUCUUCUUGCCUUUGUUCAAAGGUUUUCACAACUCCAAGGGAGGGGCCCUUCACGAAAGAGGAGUUGGAUGAAGUUCGAGACAAGUGGGCUACUUACUUCAACGAUUGUGAAUUAUCCUCAGUGUAAUAAUUAGAGCAGGCUUGUAGUUUUUCGUGACUCUUACAUUAUUUUGUUAUUUAUCGAUUUAAUUAAUUACAUUUGAAUUAAUUCGGAAAUAUUAUUCGAAAUUUGAAAUUUAUAUCAUUUUUGAGGAAUGUCAAGAUGAUGUUUGGUGAAA